GGUCGUGUGCAGACAGCGCAUGCGUGGGUCUCCCAGGUUAAAUUGGCCUGGGAUCUGGAAAAGGGCGGACUUGGAGGUUUUUCAACUGCCUUGCUAGCCAAGGGUCAGGCCCACAGGAGAGGGUAUCUGACAUGUGGAGACACUGAGGGGUCCUGGUUCCUAAAGAAGCUCAAGACCCCAUCAAGAAGACUAGAUCAAUGGGAUGACAGCAGUAUCCUGCAGUAAGAGACACCUGGGAACCUUGAUUGACGCAGAAGCUCAGGACUUCAGCACACAUUUAACUCUUAAGCCAACUAGAAGAAUCUUGAAGAGUACAGGAAUAUUUUGCCUCCACAACACUUGGUGAAAUCGGCAGGAUAAACUUCCCUGGCUGAACACAACUGCAGCUGAGAGAUCCUGAGACACCCAACAAACACUGGAAGUAGAUAUAAAGCUUGGAUGAGGAUAUUAAAUCCUUUUGCAUGAAGGUACCUGGCAAAAAGGCUUUGGCUUCCAAGGUUUGUUGAUGGGUUAGCCUUCUGCUUACUGUGUGGUCCAUAAAGUUAAUCCUGGAAAUGAUCAAUGUUUCCAAGUUUGGAUCCUUAAGAGGUAUAUCUGUCAAAUCAGGGGGGCUAGAAAAAACUUGCUCAAUUACUUGAAUACAGGUGUGUAUGUGUUCAUCAUUACUGGUUGGAAGUAACAUGGCUGGAUUUAAAGUUGAGACAGAUUUUAGAAUAACAUUAGGAUUGUCCAAUAAUAUUGCUUGAUAUUUGCCCAAUCUACCAGACAUGAGCCAAUAUCCUUUUUGUUCCAGCAAAAGGAAGAACA